UACGUAGGGUGCGAGCGUUGUCCGGAAUUAUUGGGCGUAAAGAGCUCGUAGGCGGUUUGUUGCGUCGACUGUGAAAACCCGGGGCUUAACCCCGGGCCUGCAUUCGAUACGGGCAGACUCGAGUGUGGUAGGGGAGACUGGAACUCCUGGUGUAGCGGUGAAAUGCGCAGAUAUCAGGAAGAACACCGGUGGCGAAGGCGGGUCUCUGGGCCGAUACUGACGCUGAGGAGCGAAAGCGUGGGGAGCGAACAGG
rnacentral:rRNA from 1 species